UCCUCUCUCUGCAGAAUGACCUCCCCCUCAAUAUGGCAGUGCAACAGGAAGAAAAUGUGGAGGAGAUUACAGAAGAUUGCCAAAGAUGCAAUAGCAAGAUCCCGCUGUGUCAACUUGAAAGGCACUUACAACAGUGCAACAUCGGUAGCAGCGCCACAAGGGUGACACACUCCAGCAACCAUACAUAAUAACCCGGAACAUAACAGCUGGUCAAUGAGGAUUUGCCUCAUGCGCUAACCCAUCAAAAACUGUUGAACUGCCGCCAAGCCGAUGAGGUGAAAGUUUUCAAGGUUAAAAGGAACCUUGAUGCAGGUGGCUUUCAGCAGUUUAUAGGG